AGCAGUGAUCUGAAGAUCAAAGUGUUCUGGGCUUAAAGAGCGACUGCCCCUAAAAAACAACGAAUCCCUUUGAAAAUGGCCUAUGAGGCGUCCUUGUGAGUCAGAAUCAUUUAUUCUAGUGUCAAAAUUGAUUACAAAGUGUAAUAGCAUAAUUUUGGUCAUAAAGUCAGUCUCGCCUAAAAUGGAGUUUGGAACCUCAGUGUGUCACAACAAAUAAAUUAAGGUUGAGUUUGGAUUACAAUUAUGUCAACAAAUCAUGCUACCCUUUUCCAAGCUCCACAAGCAAAUCGCCCAUCAGCCUCCCUUUAUUGAAUGGGGCUCCCGUUGUUUCAUCGCCGCCAACCAACACGUUCAAAGGAUCACGGCCAUUCGAUUGACCAUGCAAUCAAUGCAUUCUUCCAGAAGGCUGCACAGCCAAAAGACGAUGGUUUGCAUGCCCUGCCGAAGGACCCUAUCAUGCGCAAUAGGUGGUUGGAUUUCAUUGCUCUCCAGUGGUGACAAAGUGCACAGUUGGUCAUGAACGGAUGCCAGGACCAACAAGAAAGAGCAAAGGCCAUACCAGUCAACACCACCUCAACACCACCUCAUAAGACUGCCUGCUGCACUUGUUCGAGAGAUGUCCAGUUUGCAGCCGGACAUGGGGGCCCUCAUCAGCAUAAUUCAGACAUGCCCCUCGCUUAUCUUUGAAGAGGGGGCAGGAGCUAAUCUACGCUGCCAUGUAUAUCAAUGGGGCUCUGGCAAUGACCUUACCUCUUGCCUGCCCACCAAUGGUCGUCGAUGGGGAGAACACAAUUAGAAACAUGUAUGGAGCCAGCACAUGGAGACUUGCAAAAUGAUGUGAUGAAGUCCAGACCGACAGACGCACUUGAUACUAAUGUCUCUGAUUGUUGACAGACCUGGCACUCAUCAUAAAAUGUUUACUAGACACAA